rnacentral:rRNA from 1 species
ACCGUGGGCGACAGCAAUAUGUAGGUCAGGCUGAAGGUCUUACCUGAAUCGCUGAGAGGAGGUGCAUGGCCGUCGUCAGUUCGUACUGUGAAGCAUCCUGUUAAGUCAGGCAACGAGCGAGACCCGUGCCCACUGUUGCCAGCAUAUCCUUCGGGAUGAUGGGUACUCUGUGGGGACCGCCGCUGCUAAAGCGGAGGAAGGUGCGGGCUACGGUAGGUCAGUAUGCCCCGAAUCUCCAGGGCUACACGCGGGCUACAAUGACCGGGACAAUGGGUCCCUACCCCGAAAGGGGUUGGUAAUCUCAUAAACCCGGCCUUAGUUCGGAUCGAGGGCUGCAACUCGCCCUCGUGAAGCUGGAAUCCGUAGUAAUCGCGUUUCAAUAUAGCGCGGUGAAUACGUCCCUGCUCCUU